GCUUUUGUAGUUUAAUAGGUAGAACAUUUCAUUCAUAAUGAAAGCAAUACAGGUUCAAGUCCUGUCGGAAGCA
rnacentral:tRNA from 1 species